AGGACGAACGCUGGCGGCGUGCCUAACACAUGCAAGUCGAACGAGGUCCAUGGAGUGGCAACACUUCGGAAGACCUAGUGGCGAACGGGUGAGUAACACGUGAGGAACCUACCCCGGAGACCGGGAUAACUCUUCGAAAGGAGAGCUAAUACCGGAUACCCCCAUCGGAUCGCAUGGUCUGAUGAGGAAAUGGAUUCCGCUCCGGGCGGGCCUCGCGGCCCAUCAGCUUGUUGGCGAGGUAACGGCUCACCAAGGCAUCGACGGGUAGCUGGUCUGAGAGGACGAUCAGCCACACUGGGACUGAGACACGGCCCAGACUCCUACGGGAGGCAGCAGUGGGGAAUCUUGCGCAAUGGGCGAAAGCCUGACGCAGCAACGCCGCGUGGGGAUGAAGGCCUUCGGGUUGUAACCGCUUUCAGCAGGGACGAUUGUGACGGUACCUGCAGAAGAAGCCCCGGCCACUACGUGCCAGCAGCCGCGGUAA
rnacentral:rRNA from 1 species